GCCAACUACUUCCCGUUCUGAUGUAACACCACGUCCAAGGCGCGGCAUGACCACAGCUGAGGCACAGACAGCUAUGGAUGGGAUUUUAUAUUCUUGGGACCCAACAGGCUCUGGACUGGCCUUUCAAGGUGUUCCACAUGGACUUCAUUUUGUUGAUCCUACUCCAAUAGCAACACAUGUUGUAUCAGCAAAGACGCUCUUGAAACUAUGACAGCAUAUAGCCCUGCCAUGAUUGCCCUACAUGAUAUGUUGAAAGCACAGAUGGAGAUGACAAAAGAAUUCCUGUCCUCACAGAAACAAAUGUACGAGGACUUUACCAGAAAUAUUAAACCAACCUUCAAGUAUACAACUCUAGAAGAUACUAAAAAGUAUAUAAAGAAACACAGAAGAAAGAAACUAUCCUUCAAAGAAGCCCUGCAGUUAGUGGACCUUGAGAUGGCCAAAACUUAACACUGCACUGACCAGACAGUUUUUAAAAUGGAUUGUGUAUAGCUAACUGUGAUAAUGUUUUUAAUGUAAUCUUUUAGUGAUCAUCAAAACAAGUGACAUGUUAAAACUGUUUUUGUUACUGAAAUGUAGAAAAUAGUUGCAUUUCUUCCCAUUGUAAUGUAUAAAGUAUAGACAAAUUGGUUAAGUUAUCUGAUAUUAUGUAAUGUCGGAGUAGCAAUAAUUAAUUUUAACUUAGUAUUAGGGCAGCUUACAUGACAAAUUCUUGGUUGAGAAGAUAUACAUUAGCUGCAAGUUUUAAUUAUUAUAAAUAUGAUCAUUUUAGAAGGGAGAAUAAAAAAGUGAAUUGCAAAUAUUUAUACAUUCAAAGACACUGCUUCAUUUAAAUACCUUUAGUUAUUUAUGUACAUUUGUGUAUGUUCAUAUUACAGAUAUGUAGAUUAAUACAAACACUGUGAAUAUAUAAUUAUCUUUAAGUUUUACCUGUAAUUUCAGAAGAAAAAAAACUUAAAUGAAAAAUUUACACCUGUAGGUUUUAGUGAGCCAAUUUAUCAUAUAGCUUUAUUUAGGUUAUUGAUAUACUAAUUGUGCUCUGAAAAUAUUGUAAUAUUUAUUUAUUUGUCUAGAAUAAAAGUGAAAAAUUA